AUAGAAAAUGCUUUCUGAAGCAUGAGAAUCUGAAAUGCACUGACAUAUACACGUUUUCCUCAGCUCUUUUUUCUCCACUGGGCUAGUGUGAGAAAUGUAGUUCCAGGGAAAGGCUUUAAAUCUUGCUAUAUUUCUCUGUAAGGAAAAUAGAUCCACUCCAUGAGGUGAAAUUUCCCAAAGCACAUCUGGCUCAAUUUAGCAGGCACAUAAUUUUUAGGUAAUUGAGGGAAGUUGUGGGCUCUUUCCCACAAGAAGCCCUAACUGCCCAAGGUGUGAGAGGUGUAUCUCACUGCUACUUUAGCCUCAGUCCCAGGCAGCACGCUGCCUCCCAGUAUGUGACUGUUGCUCUCAAGUUUUCAAAGCAUUAUGGAUCUUUGAAGGGAGGUUUAGGCUUGGAUGAGUUCAGAGAUUCUUAAAUUAAGGGUUUUGUUUGUUUGUUUGUUUGUUUUUUGGGUUUGUUUUUUUUUUGAGAAAUUAAGUGCAAGAGGCACCACUAGAAGGCAAUUCAGACCUCAAGAGGGUAGGAGCAUCCCCUGGAGGUGCUUCCGUCACUCCUCAUUUGCUGUAUAAAGAGCCCAAGGUGAUGAGACUGCCGUUUGAGUGCUCAAAAAAUAGGUAGGCUUAUUUCUCUCCUUUAUGCCAUUGCAAAUUCCAUGUUUUGUCUUUGGUACAGCUUGCACAGGACCAUAGAUUAAUGCAAUAUUGAUGUUCUGUGGCAAGUUAAAAGGCCAAUAAGAUUACUGCUCAAUGUGAAUUAUUUCACCUCUUUGAUACCUGCUUUGUCCUUAACUCUCUUAAUGGCACAGUGUGCUUUCCUACCCCGGUGACAUCCAGUUGCAUGUAUUGUUAAUUUUUUGCUUUGUAGCUUGCAUCUAGAUUACAGUUUGUAUGUCCCCAGAGUGGUAUCAGUUGCCUGAAAUCCUGAUUCCUCGGUGUUGUGUGGCUUGCAUAAAUGUCAGCUGGUCCAAGGGAGCAGUUUUAAAAGAAACAGAGCUGAUCUGACAUUCUUCAAAGGGAAGCCUGGGAGACUCAUCUCUGCACCUGGGUUUGUUAUAUGCACUGAGCAACGGGAAGAGUGCUAUGAAUGCUGUCACUCGAGCAGUGAAGAGGGACAGGCAGCCAUGUCAAAAAUGACAAUGUUUCUUUUACUAGUCUUGCAAAAGAUGUCUGUGGUGAUGUGACUGCAGAUGACAUCAAACAACAUAAAUGGCUGGUUUCUGCAGUAGAUUGAAAUUCAUCCAGUUCCCUGUGUUCACUGUGAUGACUUUCAAUGCUAAUUCUCAGUGAGUGAGGCAUGAAAUGUAUGCAUAGGCUAUACACAGUUAGGAUACUUCCAAGUUUUUUGAGGUACCUGUGAUGUAAACAUCUGUGCAUCUUGCUUUCAUGCAUUUUUUUUCCCUAGGUUUCAGUGGUGCAGCUAAAGAAACUGGAAGAGGAGAGAACACGAUUGCUGAUCUAGUUCUUUUUAUGAAAAGAAUGAGUGCUUCAUUGUCUGAGCAGAGGGAAAUACAGGCUAGAAGCACACUUUCAUCUCCUCAAACACAGAAGGGAUCAGCUGGAUUGAUGCAAAUGAAAUGCUUUUGAAAGUGAUGCCCAAAGCUUGCUGUAUGCACUGAGCAGAGCUGGGGAUUGUUUGAAAUUUCAUUUGGAAAUCUAAAUAAUGUUAGAUCGUGUAAAAGAUGAAAAAAGUUUUAGCUCGAACUUUACUGCACGAAUUUAAUGCUCUUUGAAGCUGAAUCUAAAUCCAGCCUUCAGCACACACUGUGUCCUACAGCUGCAUCAGUGUGUGUGCUUCACUGUAUUUUGAGAGGAUGCUUCUCAGUCCUGACUUCAGAUGACUCUCACUGCUCUUCUCAGGAUUACCUGGAAGAAAGAGGCUGCUAAAUACAAAGGAGGAGAGAAAUGCCUCCUGGGCAUAUAUGGAAGGUCAUGGGCAUCUGGUGACAGGAAAUACUCUCUGGGAUCUACAGAAUAACAGAACUGGGAGAAAAACCUAAUUGGCAGUGCAUCAGUUCUAACCUGUGCAAGUUGAUAUCAUGGCUGUUUGCAGCUGGUAUAAAUGGGAAACUGAAUAGAAUAAGCUGAACUUUUGAAGACCUUCACCUUGGAAAGGCAGAUGAUGCAGGAUCAGAAGGAUGAUGUAUGAAGUAACCACACCAGGUGAAAACAGAAAGAAGUCUUCCUGUGAAAUCAACGGGCAUGCAGGCAAGAGCCAUCAUUGCCAUAACUAAUAUUAGCUGCAGAUAUUAAAAUUAUGCUUUCAUCAGGAGAAGUACAUCCAGUUACGAGGAUGAAUUUCCCUUCACUUCUAAUUAAGCAAGUAAACUAAAAUAGAAAGGAACAUCCUGUCACAUCUCAGUGCACAUAGGAAGCAAGGUGAACAAGACCCUGGCCUCACGUCUUGGCUUCUUCCCAUAAUGUUGACCAAUAAAGCACAUGUCCAUGAAAAGUUCAAGUCCUAAACAAGCCCUCUCAUUAGAAGAUCUGAAAAGGACAAGACUUCAUGCUGAGGGUCAUUAACAAGGGAGCUGCCUUCACAGAUAAUUUGCCAUGCACACACAGGUGCCCAUCAUGGUUCCACAACCUGCUUGAUUCUCAGUAGUUUUAACUACCGAUGUUCUGUCUAGCUUUCUGGAUAUUCAUUUGUUUUCCAGCCUCCACAACCUGAGUGCAUUUCGAUGUACAAUCCAACUAUCUAUCUCCAUCAACCACAAACAGCAUGCAGAGGAACUGUUGUAGUGUAUGAUUUCUGCCAGGAAAUAACAAACAGGAGGAAAAGACAUACUGCAGACAACAGAAAAAUGAGAAAUGGAGAGCAGAAUGCCCUGAUCUUGCAGUGAACUGGACAGUGCCACUCUCCAAGGGGGUUUAUCCCAUUCCCAACUACUACAGCAAUGGCUGCCACUUCGGAAAUGUUUGUACUUCUCUAAAACUAGUCAAGAAGUCUGAUUCUUUGUGACUGUGAUUGUAGUUUACUAAGUAUGGGAGAGUCUUAACUUUUUCACAGAAUCAUAGAAUAAUAGAAUUACCAAGGUUGGAAAAGACCUCCAAGAUGAUCCAGUUCAACCAUCUACCUAUCCCCAAUAUAUUUUUCCGCUAAAUCAUUUCCCUUACUAUAACAAUUAAAUGUUUCUUAAGCACCUCCAGAGAAGGUAACACAACCAUCUCCCAGGGCAGCCUGUUCCAGUGCCUGACGACUCUUUCAGAUAAGAAAUUUUUCCUAGUAUCCAAUCUGAACCUUCCCUGACACAGCUUGAGCAAGUUACUGUUUUGUUUAAACAGAACUCAGAAUGGUCCAGAAUGACUAGCUUGUUUGAUCUUUUCCAGGGAUAUCACUGAUAUGCAUUCUUCCUCUUCUUUACGGGCUCCUUUUGUGGGCUCUAUGGGUCUUAAAAUCUACUUUAGAAAUAGGUUGAUUACAAAAAGUAUUACAAAAUAAGACAUGUUGAUCAGUAUGUUCCAUGUAGUUUUUUGCUUUUCCACCAAUAGAGGGAGUAAAAUCUUCUUUCCCCUCUGGAGCUUCUGGCCAUGAGGCUGAGCUAUGCUAGACCAACAACUUUGCUGAGAGGCUUUGAAUGUGUGAGGGCAGGAGGUCAUCUAGGUCCAGGAUCACAAUCUUUAGAAAAUUAUGGUAUAGUACCAUCUAGCACAGGCUGUGUGAUAUUAAAUCAGAACAACUGAUGUAUUUUGGGCUGAAUGAAUUUUGCAGCAGUGGUGACAUGCGGAUCAAAAUUUUGCAAUGUGCUGCACUCCCUUCAGGACUAGUGAUGAGAACUGUUAAUUGCAUUAUAUUAUCUAGUGGUAACUGUACCAUUAAUGCAUGUCAGCACCAUUCCUGACAGGGCUGGCUUGAGGGGUUUUCACUGCCGUAGGCAAACUGGAAAGGAUGUGCUACUCUUAGCUGCAUUUACUUUCACUGUAAACAGUCAAAACAGACAGUUGUAUGUAGGUCCCAAUUUAAAUUAUACACCAGUGACUUAUUUAAGUAAUUAGAGCUAUAUUAACCACCCCAACAGCCAAAAAAAUGUUUUGUGAAGAGGAAUCUUCAUGAGAGUAAUUACUUUUCUUUCCUGAUCCCUCCUAGACUGUGAAGUGCUUCUGAGUUUGCGCUGCUUAGUGUGUGCUUGGCAAAUAUGAAAAGAGUGAGGCUGGAACCGACACAUAUUUGUUGCCCAGGGCUGUACACUCUCUGUGGCAUCAAACCCUGUCUGACCUGCAGGGAAAUUCCUAGAUAAGUUAAUACUGGAUGUGUUAGUGCUCUCUCCCAAAUUCUUCUCUUUUUCAUUUUGUGUCUUACAUUACUCUCAAGUUACUAUUUGGCUUUACCAGAAUCAUAAUACCGUAUGAGUUGGAAGAGACGUUUAAAGAUCAUCUAGUCCAACUCUCCUGCACUGAACAGGGACAUCAACAGCUAGAUCAGGUUGCUCAGAGCCCUGUCCAGCCCAACGUUGGAUGUCUCCAGGAAUGGAAUGUCCACCAUCUCUCUGGGCAACCUGUUCCAGUGCCUCACCACUCAUCAUAAAAAACUUUUUUCCUUAUAUUAGUCUAAAUCUUCUUUUAAUUUGAAACUAUUUCUCCUUGUUUUAUCAUAACUUACCUUGCUAAAGAUCUGUCCCUUUUUACAGCCUUCCUUUAGAUACAGAAAGGCCUCUGUUACAUCCCCCUGGAGCCUUCUCUUCUCCAGGCUGAACAGCCCCAGCUCUUUCAGCCUGUCCUUGUAGGUUAUGUGUUCCAUCCCUUGGAUCAUUUCUGUGGCUUUGUUGAACCUCAUGAGGUUCACCUGGGCACACUGCUUAAGCCUGUCUAUGUCUCUCUGGGUGGCAAACUGUCCCUCAGUCAUGUUGACUGUACUCCACAGCUUGGUGUCAUCUGCAAACUCACUGAGGGUGCACUUGAUGACCCCACUGUCAUCAUCAUUGUUGAAGAUAUUAAACAUCAGUGGUCCCAGCACUGACCCUGAGGGACACCACUCAUCACUGAUCUUCAGCAGACAUGAGCUAUUAACCACCACUCUUUGGAUAUGAUCUCACAACCAAUUCCUUGUCCAUCAGAGAGUCCACCUAUCAAAUCCAUAUCUUUCCAAUUUGGAGGGUAGGAUUUUGUGGAGGACCAUGUCAAAGACACUACAGUCAUCCAGAUGGAUGACAUCAGUGGCUCCUCCCUUGUCCACUGAUUCAGUUACACCAUCAUAAAUGGCCCCUAGGUUGGUCAGGAAGGACUUUUCCUUGGUGAAGCCAUGUUAGUUGUCAUGUAUCGUCUCCUUCUCUUCCACAUGUCUUAGCAUAGAUUUCAGGAGGAAAAAAGAGUGUUCUCUGCUAUAUCAUUGUGGGAAUUAGAUUAUUUAAUACAGAAAAACCUCCCUCUCCUAGUAAUUUCUAGCCUGUUUUUCCCUCUGCAGUCUUAAAAGUCAAAAUAUCUAAAUUUAUUGUGAAUUGGAAAGUUGUAACAGACAAUUUGUAAAUAAUGGAAUACCUUCUGUAGCAUUUUAAUUGAAAUUAAUUAUUUCUUCAGUCUUGGGUUGAAAUAUUUCAUCUCAGUGCACUGAAUCAGUUUGAAAUGUUUAGUAUUCAGUUGAUGAACAGUUACUCUUCAGUUUCCAAAGAAAAACUUUUAGGGCAUUGUAAUUUGCUUGUCUUUUUUUUACCUUGCCUUACAGAAAGGUCUAAUUGGCAGUAGUAUGUUUAUCAUCAGUCUUGUAAACGACGUGACUCAGGAUAUCCUACAUGACUUGGUCGUGUGGAGAGAUGCGCAGCUUUACUGAAUAUAUUGCCAGUCAAGGAAGUCUGUGUGAAAUCACAGAGUUAUGUAGCAUCUGCAUCACAGUUCCAGUGGGACUCCCACGAGGUGCUGAGCAGAUGCAACUUGACAUCAGAAUGAUUCAAAUCAAACAUUUCUGCUCAGUAAACCAAAGCAUUUUGAUUUGGUGAGACCACCCUGGAACAAACAACUUUGUUUUUAUUUUCUGGGUUUUGGCAGAAUCAUUUGUUCCUACACAGCUAACAUAAAUAAUUUAAGAAAAACUUCUGUGAAAUCCUAAUACUUGCAUUACAGACAAAUGUGUAUGCAUGCAUAUAUGCAUGUACAAAUACAUGUACAUAUGCUAAUUUAUACAUGUGAAUGUUCAUCUCUCUGUCUCUCCACAUAAAUUCACCUGAGCUCACAUAUGUUUUUCCUCAGUGACAUUUACCUGGGAGGCUUUGCUGUGUUUUAGGCAGGGGAUGAGUAGCCCUAGAUGUUUAAGAUGAAACUUACUUACUGUGUGAAACAAAAGGGAAAAAGGCUACUGUAGCUAUGAGAUGAGUGGUGAGCAUUGUCUUGUCUUUUUUAUUAGUGUGGGGGGAGGCUCUUUUAAGAGUAUGACUGUGUCACCUUGAAAAUAAGUUGAUUAUUCAGUGCAAAAUAUGCAUUAGAAAGUGCUUGAACUGAAGGACUGGCUGGCUCCUGGGAUCAGUAAUCUAAUGUGGGACCUUUAACCUCUUAGUCACCAGUCUGACUCCAGCACAGGUGAAUAAUAAAAUCACAAAUCUCUGCACCUGGCAGCCAUGUGGUUGCAUCAAUAAAGUGAGCUGAUAAUAUCAAUACAAUUUGGUGAGGAAAAAAAAUACCAUAUCUGUGCAAUAAUUUGCAUGUCUUUUAUGAUAUCUCAGCAAACAGCAAAGCCUGAAAGGGCACGGGGAGUUGAAAAUAACAGUGGAUUCAUAUUUCCCACCCUGAACAAUCCCAAAGCAUCUUAUAAUGUAUUAACUUAAGACAUAUUCCAGUGUAGAUCAUCCUGUAAAUACUAGAAGCCAAGGUCUGCUUAAAUCCAGUGAAUUGCUCUACUUGAUAAGGACACCAUGAAGACUGAAUUUGUUUUUAUUUAAAAUUUCCUAAAGAGGGAGUUCUGCUUGAAAAAGCAGGUAUGCAGGGAGUGAGGCACUGAGAUGGCUCCAGGACUUUGUGCAGUUACUUGGCAACAUGGCCCUGGAUCUCCCUGUUUGCCACAGUCCCCAGGACCUGCUUUUGGUUGGGGUUAAUUAGAUGUUGCUUAGUGUAUUCCCUAACAAACACUGAAAUCUUCUGGGAGCUUUCUUGUGGCCUAAGGCUGAACUCACAAUAACUAUGCUAAUGAUUUAAUGGGAACAAGCAGGAAAAGGGUGAGUUACAGAAAACUAUCUGUCUUUUUAACCCCUGUGUGAGCCAGUGUUAAUGUAGGGCUGGCAAACUACAAAGCCUGGCUGGACAUGAGCUGGCUUCCCGCAGAGCCACUUGGAUGUAUCCGCAUUGCAUCCCAGUCUGCUGGUUCCAGCAACAUGAUGUGAAGGCACCCGAGCACAGGGUCUGGAAGCAGUACAGAAGUAUUUAUGCAGAGCUUAAGCUAAUAAGCUCUGCCAGACCUGGCCUAGCCUGCAGUUGUGGCACCAUUUAUCAACAAACUGCAUAAUCUGCCAGGGGGAUAAUAGAGAGCUGACUGUAUAUCAAACAUUUGUUUGUAAUAAAAAUUACAUGCUAUAGUUUUGACUCUAAAGCAUUCGUGGAUUGCAGUCAGACAGUUUACAAGAUUUCUGCCCUUCUCUGUCUGCUGGCCUCCUCCUAAGAGGUGCUGCACUUGUGACAGGGAUGGCUUUAAAUGCUCGUGAAGCAGCUUCUGAGUAGUUCAUAACAUGGGAUUUUAUUUAUUUAUUUAUUUAUUUAUCUGGAAUGAUGGAAGUGAUGAAUAGUACUUAUGUUAAAAGUUUCAAGAAAGCAGGAGACUGAUUCAGACACCUUGGCCCCUUCCUGUUCUGUUUUCUGCAGGUAUGUCAAGUUUUAUGAUUCUCUUGUUAGAGAAGCAAACCUUAUCUUGCUUCUGGCUGCACUUCUUCUGAUCUCUUUGACGGUUGUGAUCCAAUGUGUUGAGAGGAAGAACCAUCAAAAUAUGAUAUAUGAUCAGGGCUUUGGGAAUCAUUAUCCAUCUUCAACAAAGAUAUAACAGUUGCAGUGGUAAGACAGAAAACUUGAAAUACCAGCUUCAAAUGUUCUGUAUUGAGUGUUUUAAAGCAAUAGACAUGAAUGAAAACAAGUGUAUGCUGAUGAUCUUGGAGGGCUGUUCCAACUGAAGCCAUUCUAUGAUGCUGUCAUUCUAUGUUUACUUAUAUACAUGUGGUUGUGUAGGUAGCUCUGGAAGGGCUGGAAAAUCACAACGUUUAAAUUCAAUAAUAAAAGAAUUAGGCAGGAAUGAAUGUGUUUCUUAAAAUUCCUUAUUGGUAUGGUAUUUGAAAGCAGAGAAACAAAUCAGAGGACAGGUUGCGCAAAAACAAAUCAUCAGUGCACUUGAUUUACACUUAUGCAUAUAGAUGGAUUUAGUUGCAGCAAAAAGAGCUGAACCUAAAUAAGUUCAACAGAAGUUUGUCACAACAGUUCUCAGGUCCUACAUACCUUUUGGAAGCAGGUGGGAUAACCUUUCCUGAGUGAUACUUCUGUUACCACAUGCAAUAGGAUUAGGUGCAGUUUUUUGUAGCUGAAGACAUCAUGCUACUGUUCGUCUUCGUAUCGUCUUAGCUCAAGGUUUUCAUCAGAUAUUGCACCUGUGCUUUUCUCAGUGGAGAUGCAUAGUAAGCAAAUACAAUUACUUUAUUUUCUGUUUUUGUAUUGUAGAAAACCCACAAUUUUUCCUGAACUUUGCUGAAGUAGUGAAGCCUAGAGCAGUGUCCCAGAUGACAAUCUGUCCUGCCCAGGUACUGUGAACUACGCAAGAAUCCUCAUACCUCUGGCAUGAAGAUGUUGCAGUUAUGGUGUUUUUAUUUCUACCUCUGCAUUUGUUGCUUUGCACAAUAAACACUGUAUCUUCAUCUGUGAAAGAUAUAAUUCUAUGUAUUUUCCAUUUCCCUUUUUGAUAACACAAUCUGUGAAAGAAGGCACUAGAAUGGAAAUUGCUUUUGGAAAAUGCUGUAGUAUGUAUGUCUUGUAUACCAUGUGACUGAAGAUACUGUCUAUUUGCACUUGGAAAUUUAAAAUAAAUUUCAACUUUUAGGACCCGAA